CUCCAGACUCCUACGGGAGGCAGCAGUGGGGGAUAUUGCACAAUGGGGGGAACCCUGAUGCAGCGACGCCGCGUGGGUGAAGGAGCGUUUCGGCGCGUAAAGCCCUAUCGGCAGGGAAGAAGGAGGACGGUACCUGACUAAGAAGCCCCGACUAACUACGUGCCAGCAGCCGCGGGAAUACGUAGGGGGCGAGCGUUAUCCGGAUUCACUGGGUGUAAAGGGAGCGUAGACGGCCAUGCAAGCCAGGGGUGAAAGCCCGGGGCCCAACCCCGGGACUGCCCUUGGAACUGCAUGGCUGGAGUGCGGGAGGGGGAGGCGGAAUUCCUGGUGUAGCGGUGAAAUGCGUAGAUAUCAGGAGGAACACCGGCGGCGAAGGCGGCCUGCUGGACCGCGACUGACGUUGAGGCUCGAAAGCGUGGGGAGCAAACAGGAUUAGAUACCCCGGUAAA
rnacentral:rRNA from 1 species